rnacentral:rRNA from 1 species
AGUGAACGCUGGCGGUAGGCCUAACACAUGCAAGUCGAACGGCAGCACAGUAAGAGCUUGCUCUUACGGGUGGCGAGUGGCGGACGGGUGAGGAAUACAUCGGAAUCUACUUUUUCGUGGGGGAUAACGUAGGGAAACUUACGCUAAUACCGCAUACGACCUACGGGUGAAAGCAGGGGAUCUUCGGACCUUGCGCGAUUGAAUGAGCCGAUGUCGGAUUAGCUAGUUGGCGGGGUAAAGGCCCACCAAGGCGACGAUCCGUAGCUGGUCUGAGAGGAUGAUCAGCCACACUGGAACUGAGACACGGUCCAGACUCCGACGGGAGGCAGCAGGGGGGAAUAUUGGACAAGGGGCGCAAGCCUGAUCCAGCCAUACCGCGUGGGUGAAGAAGGCCUGCGGGUGGUAAAGCCCUUUUGUUGGGAAAGAAAAGCAGCAGGUUAAUACCCCGCUGUUCGGACGGUACCCAAAGAAUAAGCACCGGCGAACUUCGG